rnacentral:rRNA from 1 species
AGGGAAUCUUCCACAAUGGGCGAAAGCCUGAUGGAGCAAUGCCGCGUGAGUGAAGAAGGUUUUCGGAUCGUAAAACUCUGUUGUUGAAGAAGAACAUGCGUGAGAGUAACUGUUCACGUACUGACGGUAUUCAACCAGAAAGCCACGGCUAACUACGUG